rnacentral:rRNA from 1 species
CAACUUGAGAGUUUGAUCCUGGCUCAGAACGAACGCUGGCGGCAGGCCUAACACAUGCAAGUCGAGCGCACUUAUGACCUUCGGGUUAUAGGCGAGCGGCGGACGGGUUAGUAACGCGUGGGAACGUACCCUUUACUACGGAAUAGCCUUUGGAAACGAAGAGUAAUACCGUAUACGCCCUUUGGGGGAAAGAUUUAUCGGUAAAGGAUCGGCCCGCGUAAGAUUAGAUAGUUGGUGGGGUAAUGGCCUACCAAGUCUACGAUCUUUAGCUGGUUUGAGAGGAUGAUCAGCAACACUGGGACUGAGACACGGCCCAGACUCCUACGGGAGGCAGCAGUGGGGAAUCUUAGACAAUGGGCGCAAGCCUGAUCUAG